GUAGGUGGCAAGCGUUGUCCGGAUUUAUUGGGUUUAAAGGGUGCGUAGGCGGUCUUGUAAGUCAGUGGUGAAAUACGGCAGCUUAACCGUCGAGGUGCCAUUGAUACUGCAGGACUUGAGUACAGACGAGGUAGGCGGAAUUGACGGUGUAGCGGUGAAAUGCUUAGAUAUCGUCAAGAACACCGAUAGCGAAGGCAGCUUACUAGACUGUAACUGACGCUGAUGCACGAAAGUGUGGGGAUCAAACAGGAUUAGAUACCCUGGUAGUCCACACUGUAAACGAUGAUUACUCGAUGUUGGCGAUACACAGCCAGCGUCUUAGCGAAAGCGAUAAGUAAUCCACCUGGGGAGUACGCCGGCAACGGUG
rnacentral:rRNA from 1 species